UACAGAGGGGGCAAGCGUUGUUCGGAAUUACUGGGCGUAAAGGGCGCGUAGGCGGCCUGCUAAGUCGAACGUGAAAUCCCUGGGCUCAACCCAGGAACUGCGUCCGAUACUGGUUGGCUUGAAUCCGGGAGAGGGACGUGGAAUUCCAGGUGUAGCGGUGAAAUGCGUAGAUAUCUGGAGGAACACCGGUGGCGAAGGCGACGUCCUGGACCGGCAUUGACGCUGAGGCGCGAAAGCGUGGGGAGCAAACAGG
rnacentral:rRNA from 1 species